AACUUUUAAAGGAUAACAGUCAAUCCACUGGUCUUAGGAGCCACUUAAUC
rnacentral:tRNA from 1 species